rnacentral:rRNA from 1 species
UACGUAGGGGGCAAGCGUUGUCCGGAUUUAUUGGGCGUAGAGCGCGCGCAGGCGGUCCUUUAAGUCUGAUGUGAAAGCCCACGGCUCAACCGUGGAGGGUCAUUGGAAACUGGGGGACUUGAGUGCAGAAGAGGAAAGUGGAAUUCCAAGUGUAGCGGUGAAAUGCGUAGAGAUUUGGAGGAACACCAGUGGCGAAGGCGACUUUCUGGUCUGUAACUGACGCUGAGGCGCGAAAGCGUGGGGAGCAAACAGG